GGGUUGCUAACUCAACGGUAGAGUACUCGGCUUUUAAGUGCGGCUAGCAUCUUUUACACAUUUGUAUGAAGCAACGGAUUCGUCUAUACCAUCGGUAGAGUUUGUAAGACCGCGACUGAUCCUGAAAGGAAUGAAUGGAAAAAGCAGCAUGUCGUAUCAAUAGAGAAUUCUAAAAAUAUUUCAUUCUUACCGUAUAGGUCCAAAACCUUGUGUAAAUUGUUUGAAUUCUUGGCGCAGAACAAAAUCCAUUUAAAAAGCAAAGAAAUAAAAACUAAAUUUAAAGUUGUGUCGAGUAAAUAAAUGGAUAGAGCCUUACUAUACGAUAGGUUCCAAUUAUAGGGAAACAAAAAGUAACGAGCUCCUGUUCUUAAUUUUUGAAUAAUUACCCGAUCUAAUUAAACGUUAAAAAUAGAUUAGUGCUUGACGCGGGAAAGGCUUUUCCCAUGAGUGUAUUAUCAAUCAAUGUUUUAUGAAUCCUAACUAUUAGCUAUCUCCAUUUCCAUUAUGUGGUGGAGAUAAAUGUGUAGAAGAAGGCAGUAUAUUGAUAAAGAGAUUUUUUUUUUCAAAAUCAAAAGAGCGAUUGGAUUGCAAAAAUAAAGGAUUUCUAAACAUUUUUUUAUCCUAGAAUGAACCUAAACCAAUUAGGUGCAAAAAGAGAGGAUAGAGAGUCCGUUGAUGAGUCUUACCUUUUUCGAGGUAUCGAUCUUUUUUCUUAAUAUCAUACCUUGUUUUAAUCCGACUAGUUCCGGGUUCGAGUCCCGGGCAACCC
rnacentral:tRNA from 1 species